rnacentral:misc_RNA from 1 species
GAUGAAGAACGUAGCGAAAUGCGAUAAGUAAUGUGAAUUGCAGAAUUCAGUGAAUCAUCGAAUCUUUGAACGCAUCUUGCGCUCCUUGGUAUUCUGAGGAGCAUGCCUGUUUGAGUGUCAUUAAAUUCUCAACUACACUGACUUUGAAUUGGUGUGGCUUGGAUUUGGGGGGAAAAUUGUUGUGGGCUUUUUGUAUAGUCUGCUCCCCUGAAACUGAUUAGCGGUACCUUUGUGGAACUGUCUACAGGUGUGAUAAUUAUCUACAUCUUAGACAUCUGCUGGAAUGCUGCUUUCUAAACCUUACUUGUAUUGACAAUCUUGACCUCAAAUCAGGUAGGACUACCCGCUGAACUUAAGCAUAUCAAUAAGCGGAGGA